rnacentral:rRNA from 1 species
UGUAAGCGUAUACCAAAGUUGUUGCAGUUAAAACGCUCGUAGUCGGAAUUUGGCAGUUCCGGAUGUGUGCACGUCGUGUGCGCACUUCGCGGGGAUUGCUUUUGUGGUCUUGCGUAGGAUGAGGCACUUUUAUUAGUGAACGUCCUCACGCAACCACUUUUUACUGUGAGAAAAUCAGAGUGCUCAAAGCAGGCAUUUGCCGUGAAUGUAUUAGCAUGGAAUAAUAGAAUAGGACUUGGUUCUAUUUUGUUGGUUUGUUGGGACUGAGUAAUGAUUAAGAGGGACAGUUGGGGGCAUUUGUAUUUCGGUGCUAGAGGUGAAAUUCUUGGAUCUGCGAAAGACGAACAACUGCGAAAGCAUUUGCCAAGAGUGUUUUCAUUAA